GGCUACACACGUGCUACAAUGGGUAGUACAGAGAGUCGCAAAGCCGCGAGGUGGAGCUAAUCUCAGAAAACUAUUCUUAGUUCGGAUUGUACUCUGCAACUCGAGUACAUGAAGUUGGAAUCGCUAGUAAUCGCGAAUCAGCAAUGUCGCGGUGAAUACGUUCUCGGGUCUUGUACUCUUUUGACCGUCACACCACGAGAGUUGGUUGCACCUGAAGUAGCAGGCCUAACCGCAAGGAGGGAUGCUCCGAGGGUGUGAUUAGCGAUUGGGGUGAAGUCGUAACAAGGUAUCCGUACGGGAACGU
rnacentral:rRNA from 1 species